rnacentral:lncRNA from 1 species
UUGAAUCGCUCCAUUGGUCGCCCGCUGCGGGCCACAGCCUCGGGCGAGGAGGCCUCCACGACCGUCGUAGCCGAUUAUGACACACCGAAGCGGGUCGUAGGACCUUCCGUUUUGGUGAAUUCGUCUUCUGCUGAGGAAGACGUCCCCGAUGAAGGUGGCGAACAAAUUUCUGAGGCUUCGGAUGAUCUGUUACCUAAGCUCAAUCUCAAGGUGCUAUCUUCGCCGUCAGCCUCCGACGAGGAGACCUCCACGACCGUCGUCGCUGAUGAUGACGCACCGAAGCCGGUCGUAGGCCCUUCCUUUUUAAUGAAUUCGUCUUAUGCCGAGGAAGACGUCCCCGAUGAAGGUGGUGAACAAAUUUCUGAGGCUGCGGAUGAUCUGUUAUCCAAGCUCAAUCUCAAGGUGCUAUCUUCACCCUCAGCCUCGGACGAGGAGACCUCCACGACCGUCGUUGCCGAUGAUGACACACCGAAGCCGGUCGUAGGACCUUCCUUUUUAAUGAAUUCGUCUUCUGCUGAGGAAGACGUCCCCGAUGAAGGUGGCGAACAAAUAUCUGAGGUUGCGGAUGAUCUGUUAUCUAAGCUCAAUCUCAAGGUGCUAUCUUCACCCUCAGGUUCAUGUGUACUUUAACUGUGUCACGAUGUUUGAUUGUGUAUUAAGGAGUACUGCCUAGGCUAUGUUAGUUUUGGGCGUAUAAUCUAGUAUUUGAAAUUAGUCUUAUGUUAUUGAUUUUAGCUUGAAUCUGAUAACAAUAAGGAUUGCAAGAUGUUUCUGAAGCAUGAUGAAUUCCCAUUUAUCUGUUGUCGAGUUGUGGUAGAAUAGCCAUACUCUAAAUCCUCUAGUCUUAUAUCAAGGUUGCAGCCCUGGUUGUGAAGAAGCUAAAAUUUGCCCAUAUGUCGGAAUUUUCAUGUCAGUAGAAUCCUCAGGUCCACGUCACUAGUUUGCCUCCUCAC